GUCUCAGUUCAGAUUGUAGGCUGAAACUCGCCUAUAUGAAGUCGGAAUUGCUAGUAAUCGCGGAUCAGCAUGCCGCGGUGAAUACGUUCCCGGGCCUUGUACACACCGCCCGUCACACCAUGAGAGUCGAUAACACCCGAAGCCUGUAGUCUAACAGCAAUGAGGACGCAGUCGAAGGUGGGAUUGAUAAUUAGGGUGAAGUCGUAACAAGGUAAC
rnacentral:rRNA from 1 species